GUGAAGAACGUAGCGAAAUGCGAUAAGUAAUGUGAAUUGCAGAAUUCAGUGAAUCAUCGAAUCUUUGAACGCACAUUGCGCCCGCCAGUAUUCUGGCGGGCAUGCCUGUCUGAGCGUCAUUUCAACCCUCAUGCCCCUAGGGCGUGGUGUUGGGGAUCGGCCAAAGCCCGCGAGGGACGGCCGGCCCCUAAAUCUAGUGGCGGACCCGUCGUGGCCUCCUCUGCGAAGUAGUGAUAUUCCGCAUCGGAGAGCGACGAGCCCCUGCCGUUAAACCCCCAACUUUCCAAGGUUGACCUCAGAUCAGGUAGGAAUACCCGCUGAACUUAAGCAUAUCAAUAAGCGGAGGA
rnacentral:misc_RNA from 1 species